UGGGGAAUAUUGCGCAAUGGGGGGAACCCUGACGCAGCCAUGCCGCGUGAAUGAAGAAGGCCUUCGGGUUGUAAAGUUCUUUCGGUAUUGAGGAAGGUUGAUGUGUUAAUAGCACAUCAAAUUGACGUUAAAUACAGAAGAAGCACCGGCUAACUCCGUGCCAGCAGCCGCGGUAAUACGGAGGGUGCGAGCGUUAAUCGGAAUAACUGGGCGUAAAGGGCACGCAGGCGGUUAUUUAAGUGAGGUGUGAAAGCCCUGGGCUUAACCUAGGAAUUGCAUUUCAGACUGGGUAACUAGAGUACUUUAGGGAGGGGUAGAAUUCCACGUGUAGCGGUGAAAUGCGUAGAGAUGUGGAGGAAUACCGAAGGCGAAGGCAGCCCCUUGGGAAUGUACUGACGCUCAUGUGCGAAAGCGUGGGGAGCAAACAGGAUUAGAUACCCUGGUAGUCCACGCUGUAAACGCUGUCGAUUUGGGGGUUUGGGUUUAACUCUGGCGCCCGUAGCUAACGUGAUAAAUCGACCGCCUGGGGAGUACGGCCGCAAGGUUA
rnacentral:rRNA from 1 species